GUCUACAAACCGUUCUUCUCGGCGGAACUCCAAACAGCCCGCCGAGCGGCAGUCGCGCUGUGCUGAUAUCUAUGGGGAGGCAGAGGAUGAUGAGGUAAGUAUCGAGCAAGCAGUGUGGGUGCAUUUUCCUUUUUUGCAUACACACACAAGUAAUUUUUUCCAUGCAUCCUUUUAGGUUGCUGUCCGAUUCCGCAUUGUGAAAUGGUGGAAAUGGAAGGUGACCUAGUAGGUGGGAGUUGUAUAUGGAGCUGGCACAUCAUGUGCAGCAGGUGUUGAGGUAACAUGAAAUGGUAUUAGGCAUUUUUAUUUUCUUUUUUUCUACACAAAGUAACCUGGGAUAUGAUUUUUUUACCCAGUUGCACAAGAACCAGCUAGGUGUUGGCAUCAUGAACUUUAUAGUUGCACAGGAAUCAAUUAAGAGUUGGUAUCCUUAACUUUUCAAAUAUUUGCACAACAAUAGCAUACGAGUUGGCAUCCCCAACUUCCAUAGUUGCACCAGAACCAUUUGGGAGUUGGCAGUCUCAGCUUUUUAAAUAAUCCCACAACAAUAUCAUAUGAAUUGGCAUCCUCAACUUUCAUAGUUGCACCAGAACCAAUUGGGAGUUGGUGGUCUCAUCAUUUUAAAUAGUCCCACAACAAUAUCACAUGAGUUAUCCUCAACUAUUUUAGUUGCAUAAGAACAAAUCAGGAAUUGACAUCCCCAAUUUUUUUAAAUAGUUGCACAACAAUGCCACCUGAGUUGGCAUCUUCAACUUUUAUAUGAGUUGAAGAUGCCAACUACUGAAAUUCAAUCCCCACAAGUAGAUGGAUCUGGGGGUGUUGUCAGAUGCACUUGUGUUGGUUAAGUUGCGCAGAUACGCCCCAGAUCUGGUUCAUUUUCUCUAAGGCUUCAUUUUUGCAUCAUGUGCAGGUUUUACAGGUUAUGGGGGUGGAGGAGCUGUUGUAGCUUUGUGCACACAAUUCUCAGCUACGAAGUCACAUAUACAAUUGUGUGGAAAGAUCAAAGGAAAAAACGCCUGCAAACCAUUAUUCAGUAGUUGGCCAGUUUGUACUAAAUAGUUGCACACAUACAAAACAGGGAUUGGUUCAGUGUUUUUCUCACAAAUUGUGUUUUAAUCUUGUCCAGG
rnacentral:lncRNA from 1 species